rnacentral:rRNA from 1 species
AUACGUAGGUGGCGAGCGUUAUCCGGAUUUACUGGGUGUAAAGGGCGCGUAGGCGGGGGUGCAAGUCAGAUGUGAAAUCUAUGGGCUCAACUCAUAAACUGCAUUUGAAACUGUACUUCUUGAGUACUGGAGAGGUAGACGGAAUUCCUUGUGUAGCGGUGAAAUGCGUAGAUAUAAGGAAGAACACCAGUGGCGAAGGCGGUCGACUGGACAGCAACUGACGCUGAGGCGCGAAAGCGUGGGGAGCAAACAGGAUUAGAUACCCUGGUAGUCCACGCUGUAAACGAUGAAUACUAGGUGUGGGGGGACUGACCCCUUCCGUGCCGCAGUUAACACAAUAAGUAUUCCACCUGGGGAGUACGGCCGCAAGGUUGAAACUCAAAUGAAUUGGCGGGG